rnacentral:sRNA from 1 species
CUCGUCCGCUUGGUGGACGCCCGGUUCGCCGGGGUCCGGUCCCGGCUAGGCUGACGACGUGCGCCCCCUCGGGGAGCUGUGCGCCCCGUUCCCAGGAACCCGGCGCUCCGCCUCCGGGGAAGGGGCGCAAAGCCGACAGCCGUCGCACCCGAGGGAGCCUCUUCAUG